GAGUUGAAACCGUGAACGAGAACGCAUUGUGCCGUCGGAAAAUUCGUUUUGAAAAUAAUUAAUAUCGUGUAUUCGUGUGUGUGUGUACGUCUGUAUGUAAAAAAACGACAAAAUAAUAACAACAAUAAUAUUGUUGUUGUUUUGUCUGCUGCGUCCGUGCGUUUGUUUGUACAUAUGUAUGCGUUUCUGUGCUCUCAGCUUUAAUCACAAUUUAGUAUCAUUGUAAACGUUGUGAAUACAAAGAAAAAAAUUAUUAAGCUUAAUUAACAAAACCAAAAAAAAAAAAACAACAAAUUUGUUAUUAAAUUAUUAUUUUGUUUAUUUCGCAGAACGGCAGUUUAUACAAAAACCCAAAACAAAAUUUUAAUAAAAAAAAUGUUCACAUAUCAUAAAUUAUUCUAAAAAAAUUAAAUGACAACAA